CGGGGUGUAGCGCAGUCUGGUAGCGCGCCUGCUUUGGGAGCAGGAUGUCGGAGGUUCGAAUCCUCUCACCCCGA
rfam:Thiobacillus sp. SCN 65-179 ABT21_C0006, whole genome shotgun sequence.